rnacentral:rRNA from 1 species
AGGACGAACGCUGGCGGCGUGCUUAACACAUGCAAGUCGAACGGAAAGGCCCUGCUUUUGUGGGGUGCUCGAGUGGCGAACGGGUGAGUAACACGUGAGUAACCUGCCCUUGACUUUGGGAUAACUUCAGGAAACUGGGGCUAAUACCGGAUAGGAGCUCCUGCUGCAUGGUGGGGGUUGGAAAGUUUCGGCGGUUGGGGAUGGACUCGCGGCUUAUCAGCUUGUUGGUGGGGUAGUGGCUUACCAAGGCUUUGACGGGUAGCCGGCCUGAGAGGGUGACCGGCCACAUUGGGACUGAGAUACGGCCCAGACUCCUACGGGAGGCAGCAGUGGGGAAUAUUGCACGAAUGGGCGGAAGCCUGAUGCAGCAACGCCGCGUGCGGGAUGACGGCCUUCGGGUUCGUAAACCGGCUUUCGCCGUGUGACGAAGCGUGAGUGACGGUAAUGGGUAAAGAAGCGUAACCGGCUAACUACGUGCCAGCAGCCG